CCUACGGGCGGCAGCAGUGGGGAAUAUUGGACAAUGGGCGAAAGCCUGAUCCAGCCAUGCCGCGUGUGUGAAGAAGGCCUUCGGGUUGUAAAGCACUUUCAGUGGGGAAGAAAGCCUUGGGGCUAAUACCCUCGAGGAAGGACAUCACCCACAGAAGAAGCACCGGCUAACUCCGUGCCAGCAGCCGCGGUAAUACGGAGGGUGCGAGCGUUAAUCGGAAUUACUGGGCGUAAAGCGCGCGUAGGCGGUCUGAUAAGCCGGUUGUGAAAGCCCCGGGCUCAACCUGGGAACGGCAUCCGGAACUGUCAGGCUAGAGUGCAGGAGAGGAAGGUAGAAUUCCCGGUGUAGCGGUGAAAUGCGUAGAGAUCGGGAGGAAUACCAGUGGCGAAGGCGGCCUUCUGGACUGACACUGACGCUGAGGUGCGAAAGCGUGGGUAGCAAACAGGAGUAGAUACCCGAGUAGUC
rnacentral:rRNA from 1 species